GCGGGAAUAGCUCAGUUGGUAGAGCACGACCUUGCCAAGGUCGGGGUCGC
rnacentral:tRNA from 2 species